rnacentral:rRNA from 1 species
ACUCAAAUGAAUUGACGGGGGCCCGCACAAGCGGUGGAGCAUGUGGUUUAAUUCGAUGCAACGCGAAGAACCUUACCUACUCUUGACAUCCAGAGAACUUAGCAGAGAUGCUUUGGUGCCUUCGGGAACUCUGAGACAGGUGCUGCAUGGCUGUCGUCAGCUCGUGUUGUGAAAUGUUGGGUUAAGUCCCGCAACGAGCGCAACCCUUAUCCUUUGUUGCCAGCGGUUCGCCGGGAACUCAAAGGAGACUGCCAGUGAUAAACUGGAGGAAGGUGGGGAUGACGUCAAGUCAUCAUGGCCCUUACGAGUAGGGCUACACACGUGCUACAAUGGCGCAUACAAAGAGAAGCGACCUCGCGAGAGCAAGCGGACCUCAUAAAGUGCGUCGUAGUCCGGAUUGGAGUCUGCAACUCGACUCCAUGAAGUCGGAAUCGCUAGUAAUCGUAGAUCAGAAUGCUACGGUGAAUACGUUCCCGGGCCUUGUACACACCGCCCGUCACACCAUGGGAG